AGGAUGAACGCUAGCGGCAGGCCUAAUACAUGCAAGUCGAACGGGUGGUAGCAAUACCACUAGUGGCGCACGGGUGCGUAACGCGUAACCAAUCUGCCCUGAACUGGGGGAUAGCCCGCCGAAAGGCGGAUUAAUACCGCAUAAACCAACAGUGUGGCAUCACAUAAUUGGUAAAGAUUUAUUGGUUCAGGAUGAGGUUGCGUGCCAUUAGCUAGUUGGCGGGUAAAGGCCCACCAAGGCGACGAUGGC
rnacentral:rRNA from 1 species